AUUGAACGCUGGCGGCAGGCCUAACACAUGCAAGUCGAACGAGUGGCGGACGGGUGAGUAAUGUCUGGGAAACUGCCCGAUGGAGGGGGAUAACUACUGGAAACGGUAGCUAAUACCGCAUACCAUCGGAUGAGCCCAUAUGGGAUUAGCUGGUAGGUGGGGUAACGGCUCACCUAGGCGACGAUCCCUAGCUGGUCUGAGAGGAUGACCAGCCACACUGGAACUGAGACACGGUCCAGACUCCUACGGGAGGCAGCAGUGGGGAAUAUUGCACAAUGGGAGCAACCCUGAUGCAGCCAUGCCGCGUGAAUGAAGAAGGCCUUCGGGUUGUAAAGUUCUUUCGGUAGGGAGGCGUUACCCGCAGAAGAAGCACCGGCUAACUCCGUGCCAGCAGCCGCGGUAAUAC
rnacentral:rRNA from 1 species